ensembl:lncRNA HLA-V major histocompatibility complex, class I, V (pseudogene)
GAGGAAUGGAGGGAAGGGCUGGAGAUGCAGGAGGGCAAGCUCACUCUCUGGCAACAAGCUCCCUGGAGUGAUUUUUCUUCUAGAAGAGUCCACGGGGACAGUCGCCGAGGAUGGUGUCAUGGCGCCCCGAACCCUGCUUCUGCUGCUCUCGGGGGCCCUGGUCCUGACCCAGACCUGGGCAGGCUUCCACUCCUUGAGGUAUUUCCACACCACCAUGUCCCGGCCCGGCCGCGCGGAUCCCCGCUUCCUCUCCGUGGGCGACGUGGACGACACGCAGUGCGUGCGGCUCGACAGCGACGCCACGAGUCCCAGGAUGGAGCCGGAGGGGCCGGAAUAUUGGGAAGAGGAGACAGGGACCGCCAAGGCCAAAGCACAGUUUUACCGAGUGAACCUGCGGACCCUGAGCGGCUACUACAACCAGAGUGAGGCCUGUGAGUGACACCGGCCGGGGGCGCAGAUCACUACCCCUCUACAUCCCCCACGGACCGCCCGGGUCUCCCCGAGUCUCUGGGUCCGAGAUCCACGCCGAGGCAGCGGAACCUGGAGACCCUUUACCCGGGAGAGGCCCAGGAGCCGUUACCCGGUUUCAUUUUCAGCCAAAAUCCCCGCAGGUUGGUCCUGGCGGGGGCGGGGCUCGGUGGGCGGGGCUGGCCGCGGGGGCGGGGCCAGGGUCUCACACCCAUCUAGAGGAUGUCUGUCUGCGACGUGGGGUCGGACGGGCGCCUACUCCGCGGGUAUCACCAGCUUGCUUACGAUGGCAAGGAUUCCAUCGUCCUGAACGAGGACCUGUGCUCCUUGACAGCCGCAGACACGGCGGCUCAGAUCACCCAGCU